GUUGGGGACAGGGACAGCUGUGUCAAAGCAGUCCAGAUCAGUCCAAAUCGGCGGCUGGCUUGAAGAAGAAGCCGAGGAGGAAAAGAAGAAAAGAAGGAAAGGGGCGAUGAAGUCGUCGGAAAAGGAGAGUAUGAG
ensembl:ncRNA C06G1.9 ncRNA